AAGGCUUUAAGUUAAAUCAAUAAACUUAUAACCUUCAAAGUUGUAUAUAUCUAAGACUGGGUAAGUCUUA
rnacentral:tRNA from 1 species